rnacentral:rRNA from 1 species
UACGGAGGGGGCUAGCGUUGUUCGGAAUUACUGGGCGUAAAGCGCACGUAGGCGGCUUUGUAAGUUAGAGGUGAAAGCCCGGGGCUCAACUCCGGAAUUGCCUUUAAGACUGCAUCGCUAGAAUCAUGGAGAGGUGAGUGGAAUUCCGAGUGUAGAGGUGAAAUGCGCAGAUAGUCGGGAGGAACACCAAUGGCGAAGGCAGCUCGCUGGGACGUGGACUGACGCUGAGACGGCGAAAAGCGUGGGGAGCAAACAGG